GGUCAGACGGCGAGCUCCCCGACGACGGCGCGGCCACGAGGAUCGCCGGCGGCACCGUUCGCGGGAGGAGGACCUUCUUCGAGUCGAGUUACCCUCGUCGCAAACGCACCAAGUUUAUUCGAAAUCCACCAAGGAUCCAUGGAGGGAGGGAGACCGACCGCGCGCCUUUCGUCUUCUCCGACUCCGGUCUCGGCUCCACCGCCGCCCACUUCCCUGCCGAGGUAAGGUACGUGCCUUCUCUCUGCCGCCUGCCUGACAACGGAAGGAAAUGUCGUUCAGUGGCGUGCUGACCAUCGCUCCGUACGUGCACGGAAGGUUGAUGCGAGAAUGCCUGGGCCAGCGGUCAUUAAUUUCCUCUUGUUCCUAGAGCUCUCAUCAAUCCAGACAACCACAUCCACAUUCACAUGGCAUUGAAAUUGAAGGUUUGCUUCGUUAGUGCUUUGGGCUUUGUUGACGGGUAGUAUGUAACAAAAUAAACAGUGGUUACUUUGCUUAAGCCUCAACAAAUAUCUUUGGUCCAGGCAUACGGGGAUGAAUUCUGGGUGGCUCUCCUUGGUUUGUUUGCUUCCUUCGUUGUCUGCACAGUACAACAACCAUUGGGCAGCGACAGCAUCGACUUUGCCAAGUCACUGGUCCAUGUCGUGUAGCCUUUCUAAGACUUUGUCAAUCCCUUGCAUUUAAUUGUAGUUCCUUUCUUGAUUGGCACCUCAUGACAAUGAUGACUAGAGGUUCCUGCAUAGGGAUGUCAGACGGGCCCGUUUAUUGCCCGCCAGGGCCCGUUUCUCAUUCUUUCUUCACGUUUCUAUGCUAUCUAGGUUGCUCUCUUCACCGCGUUUGCACACUGCUGCACCUAAACGGCGGUAAGAGGGCAAAUAAACGGGCGCCGUUACAACCUGAUUCCUGCAUGCUUCUCAAAUUGUGCACCACUAAUUGAUGCAACCAGUCACCCACUCAAUCAGUCCCGUGCAUGGUGGAAAGAUGCGUUUUUAAUUCUUGAAAACCAAAAAUCGGAACGCAGACGAACACGACCCUUCUCUUCCAUAAACCGAACACCCAGUCAUCAAACGAGCCGGGCACUGCCUUCCGCACCCAAGGAAAUCCAUCCCCUGCGAGAAAACUAAAUCGCCAAACACUGUGGGCGCCGGCGCCAGAGGAGAUGGAGGCGGCGAUUGGUGCGGCAAGCGGGCUCAUCGACGGCAUGGUGAAACUGCUGUCCAAUGAGCUCGUGCAGGCCUACGUCGCCAGCGCCGAGCUCGGCCUCAAUGCAGACAAGAUCAAGACGAGUCUCUUCUUCGCGCAAGAUCUGCUCCAGCAGGCCCGGCAGCGGGUCAUGCCCGAAGACAGACCUGGCCUGAAGGGGUUAGUGCAGCAGCUCAGUGCCAAGGCCGACGAGGCCGAGGACGCGCUGGACGAGCUUCACUACUUCAUCAUCCAGGACCAGCUCGACGGCACCAAGUACGCGGUGCCGGAUUUGGGCGAUGACCUCCGUGGUCAUGCUCGCCACGGUCGCCAUGCUCUUCGCCAUGCUGUCGGUAACUGCAUUGCUUGCUUUUCUUGUUCGCGUAUGCCGCAAGGUCAUGAUGAAGCUGCUGCAUCUGCUGAUGUCGUUACCCAUAAAUCACGCAAUGCUGGACCAGCUGAUAAGUUGUCUUUCGACCGAGUGGCAAUGUCCAAGAAGAUUAAGCUGGUCUUAGAGCAAAUACUUCCUCUAUGUGACAGAGUCUCUGAGUUACUCAAAAUAAAUCCACCUCAUACCAACAACACUGCAAUUGGCAGCCUAAAACGGCCUCUCAUCGGAUCAACAACUACACAAGAUACAUUGUACGGGAGGCGAGACCUUUUUGAGAAAACUAUAAAAGAUAUCAUCACCAGUGCAGGAAAUAGCUGUGAAAAGCUUUCUGUUCUGCCUCUAGUUGGCCCGGGGGGCAUUGGAAAGACAACUUUCUCUCAACACUUGUAUAAUGAUAAAAGGAUAGAAGAGCACUUCUCUGUGAGGGUUUGGAUCUGUGUAUCAACUGAUUUUGAUGUGCUUAAGAUCAGCCAACAGAUCCUUAGCUGCAUAGAAGGAAGCAACAAUGCAAAUCAAACAACAAGUUUAGAUCAGCUCCAAAUAUCCAUUUCACAAAAUCUCAAGUCAAAAAGGUUUUUAAUUGUCUUCGAUGACAUAUGGGAAUGCACUGACCAGAGUUGGGAAAACCUGCUAGCUCCAUUCAUGAAGGGGGAAGCCAAAGGUAGCAUGGUUCUUGUCACAACUCGAUUCCCAUUUAUAGCUAAAAUGGUGAAAUCAAUCAACCCAAUACCAUUGGAAGGUCUGGAGCCUGAUGAAUUCUUCACGUUCUUUGAAGCAUUUAUAUUUGAGGGAAAAGAACCAGAGGAUUACCAACAUGCCUUAACUGAUGUUGCAAGAAAUAUUGCAACGAAGUUAAAGGGUUCACCUCUAGCAGCCAAAACAGUUGGUCGAUUGUUGAGAAAGGACCUUUCUCGGGAACAUUGGAUGGGAGUUCUUGAAAACAAUGAAUGGCAAAACCAAAAAAAUGACGAUGAUAUUAUGCCAUCUCUAAGGAUUAGCUAUGAUUACCUUCCUUUCCAUUUGAAAAAAUGUUUUCCUUAUUUUGCAUUGUUCCCUGAAGAUUAUAGUUUUAGGAAUUUAGAGAUUACCCACUUUUGGGUUGCAAUAGGAGUCAUAGACAAAGAUGAGAAAUACAUGGAAGAACUAGUGGACAUGGUUUUCUCGUAAAGGGGAAUGAUCGUUGGGGUGAACACUAUGUGAUGCAUGAUUUAUUGCAUGAACUAUCACGGAGUGUUUCAUCCCAAGAAUGCCUCAAUAUAAAUAGUAGUGUAAGUUUUAGAGCUGAUGCCAUCCCAAAAUCUAUUCGACACUUGUCUAUUACUAUGGAAGAUAGAUAUGAGGAGACUUUUAGGAGAGAAAUGGUGAAAUUGAGGAGCAAGAUAGACAUUGUAAAUUUACGGGCUUUAAUGGUUUUUAGAGCGUACGGGGAAAAUAUUGAUGAGAUUUUGAAAGAAACUUUUAAGGAAAUAGAGGGUCUCCGUGUCCUACUUGUAGAAGUCGAGUCCGUAGAGUCUUUGCCAAACAACUUUUCAAAACUUAUCCACCUCCGGUACCUAAAAAUUAGGACACCAAAAUAUGACCCAGAGGUAGCUUUGCCUAGCACACUGUCCAGAUUUUAUCACUUGAUAUUAUUGGACCUAAGUAGUUGGCAUCCUAGUACUAAACUUCCUAAAGACAUUAGCCGGCUUAUCAAUUUACGCCAUUUUGUUGCUGGACAAGAACUCCAUUCCAAUGUUCCUGCUGUUGGAAAGAUGAAGUGUUUAAAGGAGCUUACAGAAUUCUGUGUCAAGAAAGAGAGUGAUGGAUUUGAGUUGAGUGAGUUGGGGGCAUUAACAGAGCUUGGAGGAAAACUGCGUAUAUGUAAUCUUGAAAAUGUGGCAACCAAGGAAGAGGCUCUGAAAGCCAAACUGGUUUCAAAAGGUGGUUUGAAAAAAUUGACACUAGUAUGGGGUGGAGACCAACAAGUCGCAAAGUCUGAUGUUCUUGAUGGUCUUGAGCCCCACCGCAAUCUUCAAGCACUUUGCAUUGAAAAUCAUGGUGGUUCAACUGGUCCUAGUUGGUUUUGUGGUAGUAACAUUAGCACAAAGAUGCUGGCAUCUCUCCACCUAGAGGGUGUGUCUUGGGUCGACCCACCUUUUGGGCACCUACUGCAUCUCACUUCACUCACAUUGAAGAAGAUUUCUGGACUUUGUCAGAUCAGACCUGGCUUUGGUGGUGUUACAGACAGAAGUUUUAUGAAGUUGAAGAAGAUUGGUCUUCAUUCUUUGCCAGGAUUUACUGAGUGGGUUGGGUCGCCUGAUGCCCAAACAUUUUCAGGGCUUGAAGAAAUCCGUUGCAGCUCAUGCCCCAAACUCUGCUCGCUGCCCUUCCUGCAGGAGCCGUCUGCUGUCACUUGUAACCAUCUGACUAGUCUUGAAAUUUCUAAAUGCCCAAUGUUGUUCCUACCCCCCAUGCCUCACACUUCCACACUGACUGAAGUUGAUGUGAAAGAUAGUCCGGUGGGGAGGAUGGCAUACAAUGGAAUCUUCAAGUCACUCUCUUUUAAUGGGUAUAUCAGGGAAGUCGCCUGGCACAAUAUGGCAGGCAAAUUAGAGAGCGUCAGAUUUGGAGGCGGAUCAGCAAUCCCAUGGACAGAACUUCCAAAGCUAACCUCCCUCAGGGAAUUUCAGAUUGAAGAAGACCCAAGCUUUCUAUCAACGGCUCUGCUCUCAAACCUCCCCACGUCUCUCACCAGUCUAUGGCUACCAGAUUGCGAGAAUUUAACAGUGGAUGGGUUCAACCCUCUCAUCGCCGCUGUCAAUCUCAAGGAAUUGGUGGUCUGCAACACAAGAAAAGAUAGUCCUCGCUCUGUAGCCGCGGACCUUCUCUCAGAAUUGGCGGUGGCAAGCAAUACCAAACUGUUGUUGCCUGCUGCAGGCUGCUUCCAAUUGGAAACACUCAACGUGGAUUGCAUCUCAGCGAUGCUUGCUGCUCCCGUCUGCAGCCUCUUCUCCACCACCCUCCACAAGUUAUUCUUCAGUUCUGAUCAGCGGGUGGAAAGCUUCACGGAAGAGGAAGAGAAUGCGCUCCAGCUCCUCACCUCCCUCCAAUCCCUAUGUUUUUGGAAGUGCCGGUGUCUGCCGGCCCUCCCGCAAGGGUUACACAGCCUUUCUUCUCUCACGGAACUACAAGUCGUUGGUUGUCCUGAGAUCCGGUCGCUGCCCAAGGGGGGCCUCCCCACUUCUCUGCGAGAGCUAUGCGUGAUCAAUUGCAGUCCCGAGCCACAGGAGCAAGGCAAGGAAUUACGAGGAACAAAGCCAGAUUUAUACGUGUAUUGUUAUACCUAGCCCAAGGCUUGCAGCUGGCACGUACGGCUAUGUUCUACGUCACGGGUUCAAAUUGCUAGCUGUGUGCAAUGUGUACAUACGCUGUGAGUCCUUGCAGCCUAGCUACUCUUGUAGGAAUUGGGUUUAUAUCUGCAAUCCCUUUCUGCAUCCAUGCUUGUGCACUUCAAGAAAUUGGACGGAAUAUACCCAGAUUUGUGAGUAGAAAACUAAGCCUAGAUAUUCUUGUAAGCUCUGGGAUUAUCUCUGCAUCUGGAGGCAACAAGUCAUGCCCUUCGCAUGCAUGUGCGUCAACAAUGAGCAAGCCCAGAUUUACGAGUCGAAAUCCAAGAUUUUUUAGGUUAGGGAGAAGAAGACCAAGCCCCGUGCAGUUCUGAACCUGAAUUGUUGAAGUUGUAAUUAUGGAUCCAUCAACUUUCUGCUACACUUUCACCACAAGUAGCAGCUGUCUUUGGGUAGCCAUGUGCCACUUUUGGCAUCUACUGUUGGCUUUCACUGGCAGUCUACCUUUGCCUUUUUCUGAAUAUGUCGAUGCUCAAACACGUGCCAUACAAUGGUUGACUAUCUCCUCAUGGUCUUGGUCGGUCCAUUGUGCUACCAUACAUCUUGUGCAGAUUAUGGAGAUUGCGUCUAUGCUACUCUUUCACUGGCAACCUUCAGAGUUUCAGUUCUUACCUAGCAGAACCAUUGCAGCCAGCUGUAAAUUCUGCAGUUGGCACUCAGAACUCCUAUAACUUGUUCCAUCGAAACAAUAACAGUAAGAGGAGCAUCCAUCUUGGAUGUCUUGAAGGAGCUGUGCGGUUCUGCAUCUGCCAUCUCAAAGCAUGUGGCAUCAUCGUUCAGGUGUUGUUCCCUCUCUCUCUUGACCAACCAAGCCCAAACCCUGAGGAGGAAGUUAUGACUGAAGAUUCCAAGACCUAUAUUGUUUCGUGCAGCAUGUUACUGGAGCUAGCCCGGUGCGCUUUGCAGUCGUUCCGAUCCAAUUUCCAGCAGCGGAAGUUGACGCCCGAUCGAGAGACGAUGUUGACUGCCUUGGUUGAUCAGUGGAAUUAUUCCUGCUGUUAACGUAAAAGCGCUGGGGUCCUGUGCAUAACAGUUGAGUUCCAGCAAGAAUUCGGGAGGGGGGGAUCUCUACUACUAGUACUGCUGCUGGAGACUACGGCGAUGACAUGUUGCUGUCUCGAAGAAGACCUGCAACGCUGCUUCUUCAGACAUUCUUGCCUUUGCACGUAGUACAAUAAUAACAGCUACUACUGAGUUUAUCCUGUUGCGACAAUGUAUUAAUUUUCUUCGCAAAAAGCGACAAUGUAUUAAUUUGCCACUGUAUGACUCAGGGUGUCAGCAAUCACCAUCUACAUAUGAGGCGUUAUUCAA